GACGAACGCUGGCGGCGUGCUUAACACAUGCAAGUCGAGCGGUAAGGCCCCUUCGGGGGUACACGAGCGGCGAACGGGUGAGUAACACGUGAGCAAUCUGCCCAUCACAUCGGGAUAACUCCGGGAAACCGAAGCUAAUACCGAAUACGACCACCUCCGGCAUCGGGUGGUGGUGGAAAGUUCCGGCGGUGAUGGAUGAGCUCGCGGCCUAUCAGCUUGUUGGUGGGGUAACGGGCCACCAAGGCUUCGACGGGUAGCCGGCCUGAGAGGGUGACCGGCCACACUGGGACUGAGACACGGCCCAGACUCCUACGGGAGGCAGCGGUGGGGAAUAUUGGACAAUGGGCGAAAGCCUGAUCCAGCAACGCCGCGUGAGGGAUGACGGCCUUCGGGUUGUAAACCUCUUUCAGCAGGGACGAAGCGCAAGUGACGGUACCUGCAGAAGAAGCACCGGCCAACUACGUG
rnacentral:rRNA from 1 species